ACGGAAGGCAGCAGUGGGGAAUAUUGCACAAUGGGGGAAACCCUGAUGCAGCGACGCCGCGUGAGUGAAGAAGUAUUUCGGUAUGUAAAGCUCUAUCAGCAGGAAAGAAAAUGACGGUACCUGACUAAGAAGCCCCGGCUAACUACGUGCCAGCAGCCGCGGUAAUACGUAGGGGGCAAGCGUUAUCCGGAUUUACUGGGUGUAAAGGGAGCGUAGACGGUAUUGCAAGUCUGAAGUGAAAGGCGGGGGCUCAACCCCUGGACUGCUUUGGAAACUGUAGUACUAGAGUGCAGGAGAGGUAAGUGGAAUUCCUAGUGUAGCGGUGAAAUGCGUAGAUAUUAGGAGGAACACCAGUGGCGAAGGCGGCUUACUGGACUGUAACUGACGUUGAGGCUCGAAAGCGUGGGGAGCAAACAGGAUUAGAUACCCUGGUA
rnacentral:rRNA from 1 species